rnacentral:rRNA from 1 species
GACGAACGCUGGCGGCGUGCCUAAUACAUGCAAGUUGAGCGCUGAAGGUUGGUACUUGUACCAACUGGAUGAGCAGCGAACGGGUGAGUAACGCGUGGGGAAUCUGCCUUUGAGCGGGGGACAACAUUUGGAAACGAAUGCUAAUACCGCAUAAAAACUUUAAACACAAGUUUUAAGUUUGAAAGAUGCAAUUGCAUCACUCAAAGAUGAUCCCGCGUUGUAUUAGCUAGUUGGUGAGGUAAAGGCUCACCAAGGCGAUGAUACAUAGCCGACCUGAGAGGGUGAUCGGCCAAAUUGGGACUGAGACACGGCCCAAACUCCUACGGGAGGCAGCAGUAGGGAAUCUUCGGAAAUGGACGAAAGUCUGACCGAGCAACGCCGCGUGAGUGAAGAAGGUUUUCGGAUCGUAAAACUCUGUUGGUAGAGAAGAACGUUGGUGAGAGUGGAAAGCUCAUCAAGUGGCGGUAACUACCCAGAAAGGGACGGCUAACUACGUG